GACGAACGCUGGCGGCGUGCCUAAUACAUGCAAGUCGAGCGAAGUUUUUCUGGUGCUUGCACUAGAAAAACUUAGCGGCGAACGGGUGAGUAACACGUAAAGAACCUGCCUCAUAGACUGGGACAACUAUUGGAAACGAUAGCUAAUACCGGAUAACAGUAUUUCUCGCAUGGGAGAUAUUUAAAAGUUGGUUAUGCUAACACUAUGAGAUGGCUUUGCGGUGCAUUAGCUAGUUGGUGGGGUAAAGGCCCACCAAGGCGACGAUGCAUAGCCGACCUGAGAGGGUGAUCAGCCACACUGGGACUGAGACACGGCCCAGACUCCUACGGGAGGCAGCAGUAGGGAAUCUUCCGCAAUGGGCGAAAGCCUGACGGAGCAACGCCGCGUGAGUGAAGAAGGAUUUCGGUUCGUAAAGCUCUGUUGUUAGGGAAGAAUGGAUAUGUAGUAACUAUACAUGUAAGAGACGGUACCUAACCAGAAAGCCACGGCUAACUACGUG
rnacentral:rRNA from 1 species